GCCUGGCCUCCCACCCCACUCCCGGUCACCGCCCCGGGUCCAUGCACUUCGGAGGGAGGCUGCGGGCACUGGAAAGCGAGGCCGGUGGGCGGGCAAGUCAGGAGGCUCGGGCGGCCGAGGUCCCGGAGCCGAACUCAGGUGGCCGGAGCCGGGACCCACACUUGUAUGGCCAAGGCAACUAGGAGACAUCAGAGUCCUCUAGGGGAGAAACUUGUAGGCGUGUCUGUGAAGGAAUUUCUAGGCUUGCUGACUGAAGUGAGAAGACCACCUUAACUGAAUGUGUCUCCCAUGCAGUCUUGUUUCCUGACAGCUGUUGGAGGGAAAGCAAGGAAGAAAUCAAGGUUGUCACCCUGAAGAAGAGGGUCUGCAGAGACUGGACUCAGAGGUCAAGCCAAUGGACAUUUCAGACAGUUUUCUCCACCGGCAUUAAACAGAACUUUUCUUCCUGGUUUUUCAAUUACACUAAAAUGAUCCAUCAAUCAAAGGACUUGCUUCUCCAAGAGAAUACAAAUGCACUCACUGUGAAUUACAUCACCUCUUCCUGAGGGAUGGUCUGCCAAUCGGGAGAGAAGAUCAGUGCUCACAUCUGCAAGGGACCAGUGUUUCCCUUCCUUGUCACUGGCCUUUGUGGACGUUCUAAAUCAGUUUCUGACUUCAAUGAGGACUAUGGUACCUCCACUAUAAUUACCUCUCCAACCAUCCCUGACAAUUGCCAGGGAAGUGCAAUGCUCAGGUGCAAGACUAAAUUUGGCUCCAACUGGUGAGAUGAUCGGUGGGUAAAGGCAGCUGCUGCCAAGCCUGAUGGCCUGAGUUUGACCUGGAACCUUCAUGGUGUAAAGACAGAACUGACUCCUAUGAGUUGUCCUCUGACCUUUCCACACAAUGUGUUGUGUGUGAUGCACGUGCUUGUUUGUAGGCACGUCUACCAUAUUACACUUAAUAAAGUGCAAUAAAAAUCAAUAAACUUGGCUAUGAAACCCACA